GCAGAGGAGUGCAGUGCAGUAUUGUUGUAGUAUGAGGUCGAUCAGACGAACGUAACCAUGCAUUCUCACUCACUCAUCAGCUACCUGCAGCAUGAGAGGGAGGUCGAGGGGGUUCAGUCCCGGGCAGGGCUUGGGCAGGAGCGCGUCGUCAGGGAUCAUGAGCGGGAGGUCGAGGUACUUCACGUCCUCCAAGCUGCAAUCCGCCUUGGCCUCGACGAACCAAGCGCCCUCGCCAGUGCAAGCGACACGAACCUCGCCGCCGCCCUCGGGAUCGUCCACGAACCGCCCCGCGAAGGGGUAGUACUUCACCAGCGCCUUCGACAGUGCUUCCCUGAUGACCCUGGCCGGCUCCCGGCCGUGCCUGAACACGUGUAGCGACCGCACCAUAUGCCUGAGGCCGGGCACCCGGUCGAUGGCGGAGAGGCCGAGCGAGCCCGUCGGCGUGACCCCGCAUGGAGUGACCAAAGACCGGCUUGUUCUGGACACAGCAAAGCUCAUAGCUGCAGCUGUGGAGGACAG
rnacentral:lncRNA from 1 species